GGGACAUGUAAAAACAUGCUUAUGGCCCAAUCUCAAUGUCCACACUCGAACACUCUCUGACUUUGAGAGAUUGUUGUGAGUCACUGGUGCAGAGUGGAAGUGGUCUGUUGGGGGAAUCACCACUUAAUAGAUCUGGAAGUGUCUGCCAGCAUUUCCUCUGAGGCGCUUGUCAACAUCCACCUUCAGCUGCAGAGUGAGCCUGUGUUGUCUGUUUGUGCUGCCUGAUUGUUGUCACAGGACAGAGGGCUGAAUGACCGGACGGUGAAGGGUCUCAGAGGGGUUCAUUAGACCAGAAUCCCUGCUGGCAUUCCUUGCACUUCAGCUGCAUCAUUUGUGUUUGUGGUAACAUAUAGACAAACACAUUUAAUGUGCUUGUCGUCCAGUGGGGUUUUAAUUAGAAUGGAUUGCUGAAAUGUACAGGAAUCAGCCUUUUUCGGUGCAGCUUGUAUUCUGAAAAUGUUAUGUUCAGGCCACUUCCCUUUUUUAUUUCUGUUUAGAUGUAGGAAUGACUUUCAAGGAGCGCUAGGUAGCAUAGUGAUAUGUUGAAUUCUCAGUGGGAAACAGACUGGAACAAAAAAAUAAAAUCAGCUUGUAAACA